rnacentral:rRNA from 1 species
UAACGUUACCAAACUGUUGCCUCGGCGGGAUCUUCUGCCCCGGGUGCGUCGCAGCCCCGGACCAAGGCGCCCGCCGGAGGAAUCAACCAAAACUCUUAUUGUAUACCCCCUCGCGGGUUUUUUUUAUAAUCUGAGCCUUCUCGGCGCCUCUCGUAGGCGUUUCGAAAAUGAAUCAAAACUUUCAACAACGGAUCUCUUGGUUCUGGCAUCGAUGAAGAACGCAGCGAAAUGCGAUAAGUAAUGUGAAUUGCAGAAUUCAGUGAAUCAUCGAAUCUUUGAACGCACAUUGCGCCCGCCAGUAUUCUGGCGGGCAUGCCUGUCCGAGCGUCAUUUCAACCCUCGAACCCCUCCGGGGGGUCGGCGUUGGGGAUCGGCCUUCCUUCACGGGGGCCGUCUCCGAAAUACAGUGGCGGUCUCGCCGCAGCCUCUCCUGCGCAGUAGUUUGCACACUCGCAUCGGGAGCGCGGCGCGUCCACAGCCGUUAAACACCCAACUUCUGAAAUGUUGACCUCGGAUCAGGUAGGNNNNNNNGCUGAACUU